GACGAACGCUGGCGGCGUGCCUAAUACAUGCAAGUCGAACGCUGAAGAGAGGAGCUUGCUCUUCUUGGAUGAGUUGCGAACGGGUGAGUAACGCGUAGGUAACCUGCCUUGUAGCGGGGGAUAACUAUUGGAAACGAUAGCUAAUACCGCAUAACAAUGGAUGACACAUGUCAUUUAUUUGAAAGGGGCAAUUGCUCCACUACAAGAUGGACCUGCGUUGUAUUAGCUAGUAGGUGAGGUAAUGGCUCACCUAGGCGACGAUACAUAGCCGACCUGAGAGGGUGAUCGGCCACACUGGGACUGAGACACGGCCCAGACUCCUACGGGAGGCAGCAGUAGGGAAUCUUCGGCAAUGGGGGCAACCCUGACCGAGCAACGCCGCGGGAGUGAAGAAGGUUGUCGGAUCGGAAAGCUCUGUUGUAAGUCAAGAACGGGUGUGAGAGUGGAAAGUUCACACUGUGACGGUAGCUUACCAGAAAGGGACGGCUAACUACGUG
rnacentral:rRNA from 1 species